ACUCAACCCGAUAAGAACAAGGGUAAUAUUAGUUUUCCAUGAUUUUCGAUAAACUAUAUUUUUUAUUAUUUCUUUAACAAGUAUUUCUGAACACGUCUGUGCAAAAACAAAAAAACCCUACAUAUGUUUAUCGAAAAAGGGUUUUAAAUAACCAGAGAGAGAUGAGAAUUGAAAAAAAAAAAAGAAUAUAGACAAUAUUAUGUCCAGAUGCAGUUUAUAGUUGAUGAGAGGUGGGUGGAUAAAGAGUAAAGAGUGUGAAAGAAAGGAAGGGUGAAGGGUGGCGCGGCGUGGCGAACCGUGAUUCUGGACAAGGCAUCAAUAGCGGACACCUAAGUCAACUCCACGUUAUGUUUUUUGAGGUUUUUUAGGUAAAACGGUAGCGGCUCGUCUCGUCACUGCUCGCCCCUUCGACCCCACACCAAAUCUAUAUUAAUUAUGAAACUUGUCUUUUCUUAAUACCCUUCCUUAAUACCACUACAUAUUUUAAUAAUACUUUUUCUUUAUUUUAAAUCAUUUUGUUACUUUCAUAAAUAUUUUCAAAUAUGGUUUAAUGUUUUAGCUUGACACCCGAAAUUUCUUUACAGUUAACUUUUCAUAUAUUCUCUAGUAGAGAGAAACUGUCGUGUUUCUUUAUUCUAACUAAUUUAAGAAAUAAAAUUUAAUAAGUACGAUUUUAUAUUGCUUUUAAGAUUGGAUAAUAAAUGCAUUAUCUCAUUUCAUUUCCGUUCUGGAUGAUGAUGAUGUAAUAAAAAAUAUAAAAUGAUAUGCAUAGAUAAGAAUAUUAAAAAUGAACAGCCAUUUCUUUUUUAAUUUAAACCGUGAAAUUGACGAAUUAAUUUUUUAUUAGAAGGUAGUAGCCACGAGCAAGCAUAAAAGACAACUCUAAAUGGAUCUGAAACGUCCUUACGAAUACCAAACGGGAUCGUUUUAAAGUGCGCCUCUUCGUCAUUCACAAAAAAUUAGUAAUUCCCCGUUUAAUAAUAAUAAUAAUCUUAAGAAAAAAAAUGUUUUCCAAUAUUUAAUUUUUUAUCCAUCUUUGUCAAUUUAUUUAUUCGUUCUAUGGAUUAUAUUUUAACAGUAAAUAAUUUAGUAGUAUAUAUUAACGUCAUUUCGUUUUGACUUGUAUUAGGUACAGCAUUGAGUUGAGAAACGGAACAGUUUUUGGAGAAAACGGGAAAGUGAAGAAGACGCGCUGGAGUAGAAGGUGUGAUGGACGCGCAGGAGCAAGACAGGAAUUUGCAUAGUAAAAUAUGUGGGUGUGGUGUGAAUUUCUAAACCCCGUUUGUUCCAUUUAGGAGAAUAAGCAUGGAAAGAAGAAGAGAGUAAUGGUUGUGGAUAGCUUUGUGUGUGAGUGCGUCCUUUUUAUUCUCUUGUCCUCUGCUACUGCCUUUACAACAAAAAUAAUACUAAUAUUUUAUUUCUCCCUCAACACAUUUUAUUUUAUUUUAUAACAAAUUAAAUUCCCAUUAUUUUUCUUCAAAAUACUCUAUUAAAAUUCUUAAUAUAGGCAUAAAGGC
rnacentral:lncRNA from 1 species